GACGAACCGUGCGAACGUUGUUCGGAAUCACUGGGCUUAAAGGGCGCGUAGGCGGUCAAUCAAGUCUGGGGUGAAAUCUUUCGGCUUAACCGGAAAAGUGCCUUGGAUACUGAUUGACUAGAGGGAGGUAGGGGCAGCUGGAACUUCCGGUGGAGCGGUGAAAUGCGUUGAUAUCGGAAGGAACGCCGGUGGCGAAAGCGAGCUGCUGGACCUCUUCUGACGCUGAUGCGCGAAAGCUAGGGGAGCAAACGGG
rnacentral:rRNA from 1 species